rnacentral:tRNA from 1 species
GCCCGUCUGGCGGAACUGGCAGACGCGGCGCUCUUAAAAAGCGCUCCCGAGGUGGGUCCGGGUUCGAGUCCCGGGGCGGGCA